UGCCAGCCGCCGCGGUAAUACGUAGGUGGCAAGCGUUGUCCGGAAUUAUUGGGCGUAAAGCGCGCGCAGGCGGUCCUUUAAGUCUGAUGUGAAAGCCCACGGCUCAACCGUGGAGGGUCAUUGGAAACUGGGGGACUUGAGUGCAGAAGAGGAAAGUGGAAUUCCAAGUGUAGCGGUGAAAUGCGUAGAGAUUUGGAGGAACACCAGUGGCGAAGGCGACUUUCUGGUCUGUAACUGACGCUGAGGCGCGAAAGCGUGGGGAGCAAACAGGAUUAGAUA
rnacentral:rRNA from 1 species